rnacentral:rRNA from 1 species
GACGAACGCUGGCGGCGUGCUUAACACAUGCAAGUCGAACGCUGAAGCCCUUGCGGGGGUGGAUGAGUGGCGAACGGGUGAGUAACACGUGGGUAAUCUGCCCUGCACUCUGGGAUAAGCCUUGGAAACGGGGUCUAAUACCGGAUAGGACACAUCGCCGCAUGGUGUGUGUGUGGAAAGUUCCGGCGGUGCAGGUUGAGCCCGCGGCCUAUCAGCUUGUUGGUGGGGUGAUGGCCUACCAAGGCGACGACGGGUAGCCGGCCUGAGAGGGUGACCGGCCACACUGGGACUGAGACACGGCCCAGACUCCUACGGGAGGCAGCAGUGGGGAAUCUUGCGCAAUGGGCGAAAGCCUGACGCAGCAACGCCGCGUGGGGGAUGACGGCCUUCGGGUUGUAAACCUCUUUCGACCGGGACGAAGGGUGACUGACGGUACCGGUAGAAGAAGCACCGGCUAACUACGUGCCAGCCGCCGCGGUAA